GCCGUUCUUGACCAUGGUACUGAUGUCUUCAUCUGGUUGGGUGCUGAACUAGCUGCUGAUGAAGGAAGAAGUGCAGCAGCUUUGGCAGCUUGCAGAACAUUAGCUGAAGAGCUCACCGAAUUGCGGUUUCCAGCUCCUAGGAUCCUUGCAUUUAAGGAGGGGAGCUCUCAAGCUCGAUACUUUGUUUCUCGCCUGAUACCAGCACAUAAGGAUCCUCCUUAUGAGCAGGAGGCAAGAUUCCCACAGCUUCGAUCUUU
rnacentral:misc_RNA from 1 species